CCUACGGGGUGCAGCAGUGAGGAAUAUUGGUCAAUGGACGAGAGUCUGAACCAGCCAAGUAGCGUGAAGGAUGACUGCCCUAUGGGUUUUAAACUUCUUUUAUAAAGGAAUAAAACGAGGCACGUGUGCCUUUUGCAUGUACUUUAUGAAUAAGGAUCGGCUAACUCCGUGCCAGCAGCCGCGGUAAUACGGAGGAUCCUAGCGUUAUCCGGAUUUAUUGGGUUUAAAGGGAGCGUAGAUGGGUUGUUAAGUCAGUUGUGAAGGUCUGCGGCUCAAACGUAAAAUUGCAAUUGAUACUGGGAGUCUUGAGUACAGUUGAGGUAAGCGGAAUUCGUGGUGUAGCGGUGAAAUGCUUAGAUAUCACGAAGAACCCCGAUUGCGAAGGCAGCUUACUAAACUGUGACUGACAUUGAUGCUCGAAGGUGUGGGUAUCAAACAGGAUUAGAUACCCUAGUAGUC
rnacentral:rRNA from 1 species